GGGGUAAAAUUAAUAAUAAAUAAAAUAAAAAAGAAAAUUAUAAAGAAAAAAUUAUGAAAUAAAAAAUUAUUUAAUGGGGGUUAAAGUAUUUUUUAUGAAAUAAUAAAUUUAUUUAUAGUGGAAUAGUAUUGUAAAAGAAUUUUGAAAUAAAUUGAAAAAAAAAUUAAGGGGGAAGUAAAUUUAAUUUAUUGUAUCUUGUGUAUCAGAGUUUAUUAAAAAAAAAAUUUAGUCAAAAUAUCUCGAAUUUAAAAGAGAUAAUUAAUUAAUAAAUUUAAUAUUGCAUAAUUAUUUUAAAUAAUUAAUUUGAAAUGAAAUGUUAAACGUUUUUAAAAAUAUCUAGUUUUUUUAGAAAAAAAUAAAAUUUUAAAUUAAAUUUAUUAAAUUUAUUAUUUAUUUAGUAAAAUAAAUAUUUAAUUAAAUAUUUUAAGGGAUAAGCUUUAAAUUAAAUUUUUAUAAUAAAUUAAAAAAUAAUUGAAAUUUUUAAAAUUUAUAUUUUUUAUAAAUUAUAAUUUUUUAUAAAUAAUUUCAUUAAUUUAAAAUUUAAAAUUAAUUAUUUAAUUUUUUAUAAAAAAAUAAUUAAAAAUUAAUAUUAAUUAGAAAUAAUGAUAAAAUUAGUAUAUAAUUAAAAAUAAAAAUAAAGUUUAAAAAAAUUUAUAAAAAGGAAUUCGGCAAAAAU
rnacentral:rRNA from 1 species